AUUGAACGCUGGCGGCAGGCCUAACACAUGCAAGUCGAACGAGUGGCGGACGGGUGAGUAAUGUCUGGGACACUGCCUGAUGGAGGGGGAUAACUACUGGAAACGGUAGCUAAUACCGCAUACCAUCGGAUGUGCCCAGAUGGGAUUAGCUAGUAGGUGGGGUAACGGCUCACCUAGGCUACGAUCCCUAGCUGGUCGGAGAGGAUGACCAGCCACACGAGAACUGAGACACGGUCCAGACUCCUAAGGGAGGCAUCAUUGUGGAAUAUUGCACAAUGUGCGCAAGCCUGAUGCAGCCAUGCCGCGUGUAUGAAGAAGGCCUUCGGGUUGUAAAGUACUUUCAGCGGGGAGGCGUUAACCGAAGAAGAAGCACCGGCUAACUCCGUGCCAGCCGCCGCGGUAAUUG
rnacentral:rRNA from 1 species